GCUCUCGGGGGAAUGUCGCCCUCCACAGACACCAGCGCGAGGAAGGAGCCCCUCCAGUUGUAGCUUCUCUACCUGCUCAUUGAUCUGCCCAUCGCCGCCCCGUCGGUCCUCCCUCUGCACCCCAAGGACGUCCUCCUCAUCCACAUGGCUGACGUCAUCAUCCUCAUCGUCCUCAUCCUCCUUGUCCUCCCUCUUCUCCUCCUCACCCUGCACCUCCAUCCUCACCUGGCCCUUGACAUCUAGCACCCCUUCACCCUCUUCCUGGGGACCCAGCAGGUGGUAUGUGGCCGUGGAGCCCUCCGGGCUGUGGCUGUCCUUCCCAGGAGAGGAUGACGUAGACUCGUUGCUGACAGGGGAGAUGUCACUGCUGCUGUGGUGGUUGACAGCCGCGGGGCUGGAGGGUGAUGAAGACUUCACUGGGAUCUGCCAGGAGGGGAUCUUCGGGGCCGACGGGGAAGGAGGGAACUGUCUCCUAGCAGUGGACAAGGAAAAAGAAAAGCAGGUAGAGGUUGGUGACAGCACCUGGCUCCAGUGCCACACAUCCCCUUGGUCCCUGAUCCCUGAACACUCAAGCGAUGGCAGCAGUUUCUCCAGGGUCACGAGGCAGGGCCCACUGGAGGCCCCAUCAGCCAAGCUAGUGUGUCUACCAGAAGUGUUCAGUGCUGCCCGAUGCCCUAACGCAGCCUCGCCCACCCCAGGGCAGGACCUACCCACCUUGGCAACUGUUGGUCUGCCAGCAGGGGGCCCAACACGCUCUGGAGUUGCCCCACCCACAUUCAAUAUUGUCCCUACUCCUCUCCUGUGGCCAGAUGGGGACAAGGAGGCAAAAGAGGACCAAGGCUGGGAACCCGGGAGCCCCUGGCUAAUGUGCCCAUAAUCUCAGCCAAGGACAGCAGUGGGGAACCCUGGCUACUGGCUCAGAGUCAUUCAGACCUCUGAGCCCAAACUUUGACCAAGCAAAAGCCAGCUCUGCUGGGCCCUCAGCCAGCAGCCAGCCAGACUGAAGCCCAUUCCAGGACAGACCUGGGAAGUUGGGUCAACAUGGUCAUGGCUCAGAAGUGCAGCUCUAUAACAUGAAGUCCUGUUUCUGCAAAGGCCAAGAGGACAAGUCCUGUUCCUGCCCAGGGCUGUGCCACCUACCAGCACUGGUCACACAGUCAGCCUUCAACCCCAGAGCCCACCCGGUGGCACACGCACAUCCGGGCCUGCACCACACACACACAAGCAGCUCAGUUUGCGGUUUCCUUGGUUUCAGGGUCACCUGAUGGCCUGCAUCUGUCCCCUAACCACAGAGGCACCUGUCUUCUAGGUUUGGAAGGCCAAAGACUUCUAAGGACAGACAAUCUGCAUGCCCUGCCUGACUGGCCACAUCUGUUGUGGAGACACCCCCCCUCACCUUAGGAAGUGUGCCCCUCCAGCCUGGGCUCCUCAGAGCAUGCCGUACCCCAUCCUUGCUGCUCCCACAAAGCCCACCUUGGCUGUGGAGGCCUUGCCUCACAGCUUCUAAGCCCCUGGCCUAAGCAGACACUCAUGCUUCCAGGUAGAGCCCGCCUGCGUGCACUCAGGCCGACCGGCUGCACACUCCAGCUUUCUGGACAGAGGUUUCCAGGACACUCCGCUUUCAGCUUUAAAGUCUGCUUGCUCCUCAACCAGGUCAGCACUGCGAACACUGUGCUGCCAUUCCAGGGAGCACCAGGAAGCUUCCGGGGAGGCAGAGCUGGUCUGCUGAUGCGGCUCUCACACCCUGUAGGCCUCAGUGUAAUGUUGUCUGAGACAAGGCUGCCUGGAAAGAGUGGCCACCUCCAGGUGCACUGUGACAGUAGGUGUCAUGUACCAGACAAUUCUCUGCCUGGAGGCCCUGUCUCUGCCCCACUGCUGACCUCUCAGACAAACAUUUUUUUUUUUUCCUUUUUUUAAUGCAAUACUAUGGAUGAUAUCUAUCCCCUUGGUGUGGGAGCGCUGGCUCCUUAGGAGGGGAGACAGGAGCGCCUAAGGUUCGCCUCAAGAUCUUCAUCUUCCAGCUCAGUGAGGGGUCCCGUCCCUCCCGGGAUUGUUGUGCCAGCCCACAAGACCCCUACACCACCAGGUUGACCUUCAAUAAGCGAGAGCUCUCAGCUUCCUUUCCUACCGAUUCAAAAGAAGUCCUUUCAAGGAGUUGAUUUCCGACUUGAGCUCAUUAAUAUUCUGGGACUCCAGGAUCCAGUUGGUUGAUGUGGUGGCCUAUAGGUCAGAAGACAUAUAACACAGGUCACAGUGGUGCCUGGUGCCAGCCUGUGUCUGGGGUCGGGGGAUUUAGAAGGGCCCUCGUUGGGGCAAUAGCUGCAAGCCGCUCUGUAUACACUCUGCAUUGUCACGCCUGCCUGUGACAAAACCCUACAACAACAGUCCCCAACCUCUGACUGCUGGUGGUGCUAAGAAGUCAUUCAGUGUUCUUUGGUGGCACUACAGCACCCAUGUGUAAAAUAACAAAGAAGCCCUUCUGUUUCCCACUGACACUGAAGGAACGGGAGACUACAAGUCCUACCUGCGGCGGUCUCUCCCGUUCCCUACCCCACUGCGGAUGCGCCAAGGCUCCACAUCCAUGUGACCUGUCGAGGCCUGUGACUACUAUGUCCCUGAUUCCUAGCAGAGCAAUGGUUCAUGGGACAGACGAGUUAGAGGAUUCCAGACAGCUCUGCACAGGUGCCAGCAAGGGACAGAGCCUCCUGCCUGGGACAGGUGGCUCUCUUGCCUGCCUUGAGGUUUAGAUUCCCAGCUCCCACUUAGU
ensembl:antisense Gm17029 predicted gene 17029